rnacentral:lncRNA from 1 species
CCCCACUCAACAGACAAGCAGGACGGCCAAUACAGAGACAGGCACAUUCUCACACACAGAUGAAGAACUGUACACAUAGUAUUAACAUGCAUUCAAAGGUAGACACUCAUACAUGCACACACAUACACACACACUGUACAGCCCCUACAUGACAGCCACAGCAGGUACAGUGGAUGCUUCAGUGCAUGCGUUCAUUCUUACGCAGUGGGACCCCCCAGAAUCAUAUGUGACCAUUUGGUUACGGCGAAACCAUUCUGCUGAGGACACAAACCAGAGGAGCCUGACAAUUUCUGGAAGUUAUUGUAGUCCUGCUUGCGAUAUUUAGCCUCUACAUUGGCUAUUUGUUGAGACCAGUGGAGACUGCUGAGGGGAGG